UGCCAGACUCCUACGGGAGGCAGCAGUGGGGAAUAUUGCACAAUGGGGGAAACCCUGAUGCAGCGACGCCGCGUGAGCGAUGAAGUAUUUCGGUAUGUAAAGCUCUAUCAGCAGGGAAGAAAAUGACGGUACCUGACUAAGAAGCCCCGGCUAACUACGUGCCAGCAGCCGCGGUAAUACGUAGGGGGCAAGCGUUAUCCGGAUUUACUGGGUGUAAAGGGAGCGUAGACGGCAUGGCAAGUCAGAUGUGAAAGCCCGGGGCUCAACCCCGGGACUGCAUUUGAAACUGUCAGGCUGGAGUGCAGGAGAGGUAAGUGGAAUUCCUAGUGUAGCGGUGAAAUGCGUAGAUAUUAGGAGGAACACCAGUGGCGAAGGCGGCUUACUGGACUGUAACUGACGUUGAGGCUCGAAAGCGUGGGGAGCAAACAGGAUUAGAUACCCGUGUA
rnacentral:rRNA from 1 species